rnacentral:lncRNA from 1 species
ACCGCCAGCAAUAAGCCUGUAGAGGAGCAAAGUCCGUAUCAGUGCGCUCGGGGUGAGUCUGACCAGCUCGUCCCAUACUGCCAUGCUUACUGCAGUGCUCUUCCUACAGUACCAUCCUUCGUAAUCUAUACUCCUCAGUGAAUUCAUGCCUUAUGUUUAUCACAAAAGCCCAGUCAGGAAUAGCAGCAGAAGAAAACGUUGUAGAAGUCUGCUCAAAACCAAGAAUAACAUGUUAAAGAUCCACUGUAGACUCACUGCCUGCGUGACAUAAGGAUUCGUGAUGUGCGUGUAGCUGACCUGUGAGGGUUCAGCUGACCUGUGAGGGUUCAGCUGGAUAUAACCUUGUGAUCUUCUUAAAAAUAUCUUGUCUUUAUCAUAAGAUAUAAGACGCAAAUUAUUAUUCAGAUUCUUUGCCAACCGCAGAUUUAAAAUCUCUGGGUAUUUCUCAUGUCUGAUCCUCUCAGGGCUGUGAUGUUGAUGCUGCCAGGGAGGACUGCAGAGGUUUUCUACGAAAUCAGUUUUUCCUGUCUGGAUUGUGGCAAACUGCAGCCAAAGAUCAUCACCGCUGUCUGGAACUGGUCUGCUGCAGAAGAAUCGGAGCAGGUAGCUGACCUAAGGACAGUUCAUAUCCAUGAAAGAAUAGAGCACCUAUGCAACCAUAAAAAGAGCAGCGUGAUGUGGAGCUGUCAUCCCUGUGCGAUAGAUUGCAAAAUGGGUUAG